AGUGAACGCUGGCGGUAGGCCUAACACAUGCGAGUCGAACGGCAGCACAGUAAGAGCUUGCUCUUACGGGUGGCGAGUGGCGGACGGGUGAGGAAUACAUCGGAAUCUACUUUUUCGUGGGGGAUAACGUAGGGAAACUUACGCUAAUACCGCAUACGACCUACGGGUGAAAGCAGGGGAUCUUCGGACCUUGCGCGAUUGAAUGAGCCGAUGUCGGAUUAGCUAGUUGGCGGGGUAAAGGCCCACCAAGGCGACGAUCCGUAGCUGGUCUGAGAGGAUGAUCAGCCACACUGGAACUGAGACACGGUCCAGACUCCUACGGGAGGCAGCAGUGGGGAAUAUUGGACAAUGGGCGCAAGCCUGAUCCAGCCAUACCGCGUGGGUGAAGAAGGCCUUCGGGUUGUAAAGCCCUUUUGUUGGGAAAGAAAAGCAGCAGGUUAAUACCCCGCUGUUAUGACGGUACCCAAAGAAUAAGCACCGGCUAACUUCGUG
rnacentral:rRNA from 1 species